rnacentral:rRNA from 1 species
GAUGAACGCUAGCUACAGGCUUAACACAUGCAAGUCGAGGGGAAACGAUAGAGAAAGCUUGCUUUUUCUAGGCGUCGACCGGCGCACGGGUGAGUAACGCGUAUCCAACCUGCCCACCACUUGGGGAUAACCUUGCGAAAGUAAGACUAAUACCCAAUGACGUCUCUAGAAGACAUCUGAAAGGGAUUAAAGAUUUAUCGGUGUAUGAUGGAUCCGCGUCUGAUUAGGCAGUUGGCGGGGUAACGGCCCACCAUGGCGACGAUCGGUAGCCGGACUGAGAGGUUGAACGGCCACAUUGGGACUGAGACACGGUCCAAACUCCUACGGGAGGCAGCAGUGAGGAAUAUUGGUCAAUGGGCGAGAGCCUGAACCAGCCAAGUAGCGUGCAGGAUGACGGCCCUAUGGGUUGUAAACUGCUUUUAUAAGGGAAUAAAGUUAGUCUCGUGAGACUUUUUGCAUGUACCUUAUGAAUAAGGACCGGCUAAUUCCGUG